rnacentral:rRNA from 1 species
AGACAAUAGAUACCCAGGUAGUCCUGGCCUUAAACGAUGAUCACUAGGUGUAGGAGGCUUCGACCCCUUCUGCGCCGCCGCUAACGCAUUAAGUGAUCCGCCUGGGGAGUACGGCCGCAAGGUUAAAACUCAAAGGAAUUGACGGGGGCCCGCACAAGCAGUGGAGCAUGUGGUUUAAUUCGAUGCUACGCGAAAACCUUACCAGGGUUUGACAUCCCGGUGAAACCCCAUAGAAAUAUGGGGCCCCUUCGGGCACCGGUGACAGGUGGUGCAUGGUUGUCGUCAGCUCGUGCCGUGAGGUGUUGGAUUAAGUUCCGCAACGAGCGCAACCCUCGUUGCUAGUUGCCAUCAUUAAGUUGGGUCACUCUAGCGAGACUGCCAGCGUCAAGCUGGAGGAAGGUGGGGAUGACGUCAAAUCAUCAUGCCCCGUUACAUCCUGGGCUACACACGUGCUACAAUGGCC